CAAGUCGAACGAACUUCCGUUAAUUGAUYAGGACGUGCUUGCACUGAAUGAGAUUUUAACACGAAGUGAGUGGCGGACGGGUGAGUAACACGUGGGUAACCUGCCCAGAAGCAGGGGAUAACACCUGGAAACAGAUGCUAAUACCGUAUAACAGAGAAAACCGCCUGGUUUUCUUUUAAAAGAUGGCUCUGCUAUCACUUCUGGAUGGACCCGCGGCGCAUUAGCUAGUUGGUGAGGUAACGGCUCACCAAGGCGAUGAUGCGUAGCCGACCUGAGAGGGUAAUCGGCCACAUUGGGACUGAGACACGGCCCAGACUCCUACGGGAGGCAGCAGUAGGGAAUCUUCCACAAUGGACGCAAGUCUGAUGGAGCAACGCCGCGUGAGUGAAGAAGGGUUUCGGCUCGUAAAGCUCUGUUGUUAAAGAAGAACGUGGGUGAGAGUAACUGUUCACCCAGUGACGGUAUUUAACCAGAAAGCCACGGCUAACUACGUGCCAGCAGCCGCGGUAAUACGUAGGUGGCAAGCGUUAUCCGGAUUUAUUGGGCGUAAAGCGAGCGCAGGCGGUCUUUUAAGUCUAAUGUGAAAGCCUUCGGCUCAACCGAAGAAGUGCAUUGGAAACUGGGAGACUUGAGUGCAGAAGAGGACAGUGGAACUCCAUGUGUAGCGGUGAAAUGCGUAGAUAUAUGGAAGAACACCAGUGGCGAAGGCGGCUGUCUGGUCUGUAACUGACGCUGAGGCUCGAAAGCAUGGGUAGCGAACAGGAUUAGAUACCCUGGUAGUCCAUGCCGUAAACGAUGAUUACUAAGUGUUGGAGGGUUUCCGCCCUUCAGUGCUGCAGCUAACGCAUUAAGUAAUCCGCCUGGGGAGUACGACCGCAAGGUUGAAACUCAAAAGAAUUGACGGGGGCCCGCACAAGCGGUGGAGCAUGUGGUUUAAUUCGAAGCUACGCGAAGAACCUUACCAGGUCUUGACAUCUUCUGCCAACCUAAGAGAUUAGGCGUU
rnacentral:rRNA from 1 species